rnacentral:rRNA from 1 species
AUGCUUCUCCUAAAGACUAAGCCAUGCAUGUCUUCGAAUAAGAGGAAGCAAUUCUCUCUGAAUCUGCGAACGGCUCCGCAAACCAGUUGUAAACCAUAGCAGUGUUCCGCCCGGCUUCAGCAAUGGGGUCGGGCAUUAUAUGGAUAACCGUGGUAAUUCUGAGGCUAAUACAUGACACACUAACCUGGACGGGCUGGGGGCAACCCGGGCUUGCUGGGGGACGUGCGAAAUCAGCAAUGCUAUAACGAACAUCGGGAAUAGAGC